rnacentral:rRNA from 1 species
UACGUAGGGUGCGAGCGUUGUCCGGAAUUACUGGGCGUAAAGAGCUCGUAGGUGGUUUGUCGCGUUGUUCGUGAAAUCUCACGGCUUAACUGUGAGCGUGCGGGCGAUACGGGCAGACGUGGAGUACUGCAGGGGAGACUGGAAUUCCUGGUGUAGCGGUGGAAUGCGCAGAUAUCAGGAGGAACACCGGUGGCGAAGGCGGGUCUCUGGGCAGUAAACUGACGCUGGAGGAAGCGAAAGCCGUGGGGAGCAAACAGGA